CCAAACUUUAAUGAGGACCUAUUACCCCCUAGACUAUUUAAUACCGUAUUUUAAACAUAUAUAUUUGUCCAACUGGUCAAGUGCAUGAAAACACAACGCAUAGGCGCGUAGGGGACCAGAUAAUUUUAUUUAUGCCAAUCAUUAAAUGUCACGUAUCAAUACAGGGAUUAAACUAUAUCUAUUUCUUUUUACCUAUAAUUCUAAUUCAUUUUACACCCUUUCUCCUUCGCUGGAAAUUAUUUUCUAAAUCCAAAAGACCACCAUUGAAGGGCCAGUGAAAGAGAGUUUUGGGAAAGAGACCCAAUGGCUGAGAUGUUCAGUCGACUCCCUCCCCCUUUGUGGGGGUCCCGACCCCUACGAGUGAACAGAAAAGGGAGGAGGAAAGAGGCCCUGGUGAACCGUCAUAAUUAGUGAACAAGUGUAAGCUUCGCUGCCUGACAGUAUGGAGUACUGACCACACCGGAGUGGCAGUGAAGGUGUGACACUUCCUCUCCUCUCCCUCAUGGCUAGUUGAUCACUUUAAAGAUUUGAAGACUUGGUGAGUCCUCAUAUUUCGAGGAUCAUGUCACCUUUAUUGCUUUCAUAUUUCUUUACAUUUCGGAUGUUGUACGUGCUAUACGGGUUACAUCCCCACCACUUCUUUUGAUGUACUAGAUGACUUAUCAAGACUAUGAUAGACUUCCGCUUUAA